GCAAAACGCGAAGAACCUUACCAGGCCUUGACAUGCAGAGAACUUUCCAGAGAUGGUUCCUUCAGUUCGGCUGGAUACAACACAGGUGCUGCAUGGCUGUCGUCAGCUCGUGUCGUGAGAUGUUCGGUUAAGUCCGGCAACGAGCGCAACCCACACUUUCAGUUGCCAUCAUUCAGUUGGGCACUCUGGAAGAACUGCCGGUGAUAAGCCGGAGGAAGGUGUGGAUGACGUCAAGUCCUCAUCGGCCCUUACGGGUUGGGCUACACACGUGCUACAAUGGUGGUGACAAGUGGGUUUAACUACCCCAAAACGCCAUCUCAGUUCGGAUUGGGUCUGCAACUCGACCCCAUGAAGUCGGAAUCGCUAGUAAUCGCGUAACAGCAUGACGCGGUGAAUACGUUCCCGGGUCUUGUACACACCG
rnacentral:rRNA from 1 species